GUCGGGAAUCGCGGGCACCGGGGUCGCGGCGGUCUGCGGAACCGCCCGCGGCGGCGGCGUCGGUCGGUCCGUUUCGAGUUCCGGUUCCGGUUC
rnacentral:tRNA from 1 species